AGUGAACGCUGGCGGCAGGCCUAACACAUGCAAGUCGAACGGCAGCACAGUAAGAGCUCGCUCUUACGGGUGGCGAGUGGCGGACGGGUGAGGAAUACAUCGGAAUCUACUUUUUCGUGGGGGAUAACGUAGGGAAACUUACGCUAAUACCGCAUACGACCUACGGGUGAAAGCAGGGGAUCUUCGGACCUUGCGCGAUUGAAUGAGCCGAUGUCGGAUUAGCUAGUUGGCGGGGUAAAGGCCCACCAAGGCGACGAUCCGUAGCUGGUCUGAGAGGAUGAUCAGCCACACUGGAACUGAGACACGGUCCAGACUCCUACGGGAGGCAGCAGUGGGGAAUAUUGGACAAUGGGCGCAAGCCUGAUCCAGCCAUACCGCGUGGGUGAAGAAGGCCUUCGGGUUGUAAAGCCCUUUUGUUGGGAAAGAAAAGCAGCAGGUUAAUACCCCGCUGUUCUGACGGUACCCAAAGAAUAAGCACCGGCUAACUUCGUG
rnacentral:rRNA from 1 species